GUUAUAUGGUCAAGUGAAGAAGCGCAUACGGUGGAUGCCUUGGCAGUCAGAGGCGAUGAAAGACGUGGUAGCCUGCGAAAAGCUUCGGGGAGUCGGCAAACAGACUUUGAUCCGGAGAUGUCUGAAUGGGGGAACCCAGCCAUCAUAAGAUGGUUAUCUUACGCUGAAUACAUAGGCGUAAGAGGCGAACCAGGGGAACUGAAACAUCUAAGUACCCUGAGGAAAAGAAAUCAACCGAGAUUCCCUUAGUAGUGGCGAGCGAACGGGGACUAGCCCUUAAGUGGCUUUGAGAUUAGCGGAACGCUCUGGAAAGUGCGGCCAUAGUGGGUGAUAGCCCUGUACGCGAAAAUCUCUUAGUCAUGAAAUCGAGUAGGACGGAGCACGAGAAACUUUGUCUGAAUAUGGGGGGACCAUCCUCCAAGGCUAAAUACUACUGACUGACCGAUAGUGAACUAGUACCGUGAGGGAAAGGCGAAAAGAACCCCGGAGAGGGGAGUGAAAUAGAUCCUGAAACCGUAUGCGUACAAGCAGUGGGAGCCCACUUUGUUGGGUGACUGCGUACCUUUUGUAUAAUGGGUCAGCGACUUAUUUUCAGUGGCGAGCUUAACCGAAUAGGGGAGGCGUAGCGAAAGCGAGUCUUAAUAGGGCGUCUAGUCGCUGGGAAUAGACCCGAAACCGGGCGAUCUAUCCAUGGGCAGGUUGAAGGUUGGGUAACACUAACUGGAGGACCGAACCGACUACCGUUGAAAAGUUAGCGGAUGACCUGUGGAUCGGAGUGAAAGGCUAAUCAAGCUCGGAGAUAGCUGGUUCUCCUCGAAAGCUAUUUAGGUAGCGCCUCAUGUAUCACUGUAGGGGGUAGAGCACUGUUUCGGCUAGGGGGUCAUCCCGACUUACCAAACCGAUGCAAACUCCGAAUACCUACAAGUGCCGAGCAUGGGAGACACACGGCGGGUGCUAACGUCCGUCGUGAAAAGGGAAACAACCCAGACCGUCAGCUAAGGUCCCAAAGUUAUGGUUAAGUGGGAAACGAUGUGGGAAGGCUUAGACAGCUAGGAGGUUGGCUUAGAAGCAGCCACCCUUUAAAGAAAGCGUAAUAGCUCACUAGUCGAGUCGGCCUGCGCGGAAGAUGUAACGGGGCUCAAACCAUACACCGAAGCUACGGGUAUCACGUAAGUGAUGCGGUAGAGGAGCGUUCUGUAAGCCUGUGAAGGUGAGUUGAGAAGCUUGCUGGAGGUAUCAGAAGUGCGAAUGCUGACAUGAGUAACGACAAUGGGUGUGAAAAACACCCACGCCGAAAGACCAAGGUUUCCUGCGCAACGUUAAUCGACGCAGGGUUAGUCGGUCCCUAAGGCGAGGCUGAAAAGCGUAGUCGAUGGAAAACAGGUUAAUAUUCCUGUACUUCUGGUUAUUGCGAUGGAGGGACGGAGAAGGCUAGGCCAGCUUGGCGUUGGUUGUCCAAGUUUAAGGUGGUAGGCUGGAAUCUUAGGUAAAUCCGGGAUUCUAAGGCCGAGAGCUGAUGACGAGUCAUCUUUUAGAUGACGAAGUGGUUGAUGCCAUGCUUCCAAGAAAAGCUUCUAAGCUUCAGGUAACCAGGAACCGUACCCCAAACCGACACAGGUGGUUGGGUAGAGAAUACCAAGGCGCUUGAGAGAACUCGGGUGAAGGAACUAGGCAAAAUGGCACCGUAACUUCGGGAGAAGGUGCGCCGGUGAGGGUGAAGGACUUGCUCCGUAAGCUCAUGCCGGUCGAAGAUACCAGGCCGCUGCGACUGUUUAUUAAAAACACAGCACUCUGCAAACACGAAAGUGGACGUAUAGGGUGUGACGCCUGCCCGGUGCCGGAAGGUUAAUUGAUGGGGUUAGCUAACGCGAAGCUCUUGAUCGAAGCCCCGGUAAACGGCGGCCGUAACUAUAACGGUCCUAAGGUAGCGAAAUUCCUUGUCGGGUAAGUUCCGACCUGCACGAAUGGCGUAACGAUGGCGGCGCUGUCUCCACCCGAGACUCAGUGAAAUUGAAAUCGCUGUGAAGAUGCAGUGUAUCCGCGGCUAGACGGAAAGACCCCGUGAACCUUUACUAUAGCUUUGCACUGGACUUUGAAUUUGCUUGUGUAGGAUAGGUGGGAGGCUUUGAAGCGUGGACGCCAGUCUGCGUGGAGCCAACCUUGAAAUACCACCCUGGCAACUUUGAGGUUCUAACUCAGGUCCGUUAUCCGGAUCGAGGACAGUGUAUGGUGGGUAGUUUGACUGGGGCGGUCUCCUCCUAAAGAGUAACGGAGGAGUACGAAGGUGCGCUCAGACCGGUCGGAAAUCGGUCGUAGAGUAUAAAGGCAAAAGCGCGCUUGACUGCGAGACAGACACGUCGAGCAGGUACGAAAGUAGGUCUUAGUGAUCCGGUGGUUCUGUAUGGAAGGGCCAUCGCUCAACGGAUAAAAGGUACUCCGGGGAUAACAGGCUGAUACCGCCCAAGAGUUCAUAUCGACGGCGGUGUUUGGCACCUCGAUGUCGGCUCAUCACAUCCUGGGGCUGAAGCCGGUCCCAAGGGUAUGGCUGUUCGCCAUUUAAAGUGGUACGCGAGCUGGGUUUAGAACGUCGUGAGACAGUUCGGUCCCUAUCUGCCGUGGACGUUUGAGAUUUGAGAGGGGCUGCUCCUAGUACGAGAGGACCGGAGUGGACGAACCUCUGGUGUUCCGGUUGUCACGCCAGUGGCAUUGCCGGGUAGCUAUGUUCGGAAUAGAUAACCGCUGAAAGCAUCUAAGCGGGAAACUAGCCUCAAGAUGAGAUCUCACUGGAACCUUGAGUUCCCUGAAGGGCCGUCGAAGACUACGACGUUGAUAGGUUGGGUGUGUAAGCGCUGUGAGGCGUUGAGCUAACCAAUACUAAUUGCCCGUGAGGCUUGACCAUAUAACACCCAAGCAAUU
rnacentral:rRNA from 2 species